AUGUUGCUUUCCCAGGCCUGUGGCCACUGCUACCAGCCCGGCCAUUAUUUGGUUAUCAGGUUGAGGUGCCUGGGGAAGGGUCAAUCAUGAAACUUUACAUUACAUUACCGUCUGAAAAGGCCAUGUGCCGUUAUAUAUAAACAUUUUAAAACUUUCAACAACGGAUCUCUUGGCUCUCGCAUCGAUGAAGAACGCAGCGAAAUGCGAUAAGUAAUGUGAAUUGCAGAAUUCAGUGAAUCAUCGAAUCUUUGAACGCACAUUGCGCCCUUUGGUAUUCCUUAGGGCAUGCCUGUUCGAGCGUCACUAACAACCUGAUCACCUCAUGUGUGGUAUUGGCAGAAGUGGGUAGAGCAUAGUUGCUAGUAGUCCCACCCUGCUGGAAUGAAUAGGCUGGAAAAGUAGAUCAUAGCAACAGACUUUCAGAGUAUUUUGAAAUGCUAAAUUAGUUUGGAGCUGGUCGGAACCCAGGC
rnacentral:rRNA from 1 species